ACACGCAUGACACACUGCAUAUCAAUAAGCGGAGGAAAAGAAACUAACUAGGAUUCCCUUAGUAACGGCGAGUGAAGCGGGAAGAGCUCAAAUUUGAAAUCUUCAAGGUUCUACCUUGACGAAUUGUAGUUUAUAGAAGUGUUUUCUGUUAGUAGAGUGGUAAAAGUUCUUUGGAAUAGGACAUCAUAGAGGGUGAGAAUCCCGUAUUUGGAUCAUUACUUCCCUAGCUGUGUGAUACACUUUCAAAGAGUCGGAUUGUUUGGGAAUGCAGUCCAAAAUGGGUGGUAAAUUUCAUCUAAAGCUAAAUAUUGGCGAGAGACCGAUAGCGAACAAGUACCGUGAGGGAAAGAUGAAAAGAACUUUGAAGAGAGAGUUAAACAGUACGUGAAAUUGUCAAAAGGGAAGCGUUUGACACCAGUGUUGUUUAUUCGAAAAUCAAUUAAAAUGAUUUGCGAUUUGUAGUAGUAUUGACCUUAUCAGCUUUCUGCACUCUUUUCUCUAUAUUAUUUAAUGCACUUUUCAGUUAACAAGUCAACAUCAAUUUCUUUUGUUGUAAAAAGGUAAGAGGAAGGUGGCUUGCGCUUCGGCUCAAGUGUUUAUAGCCUUUUACCCCUGCAAUCGGAGAGAUUGAGGUCUGCAGCGUAGAUCCUUCGGGGUUAGAUACAUUUGUGCUAAGCUAUAGCCUUGUAUAGACAACUUGUUGACUAUGCUCAGUCAUGUAGCUUACUCGCUUAUGCUAUUUUACCUACGCUUAGGAUGUUGAGCGCAUGUCUCUCUCU
rnacentral:rRNA from 1 species